UUUCAAGUGGCUGCCGCUUUCCCCCUCCCCUUCAGUGCGACAAUCUCAGAGCUGGUGGAGAAGCAGAGCGUGUGCAGCUGGAUAAAUUCGUAGACGUGGAAUUUCUGGAUCAAAUGGAAGAGAUUGGACAAUUGAGAGAGCCCUUGGAAGAGGGGAAGAGGGCUUCGUUACCAGUGUGUAUUUGCCACCUAGUGACCAUAGUGAAUGGUGAUAUUUGUCCUUCUCGGCUCAGCCCGGUGGCCUGACCUUAACUCCUGAGUUCCAUGGUCACGUCGCAACUGCAAGUCAAUCUCAUACAAACUUUGAGUUGACCUAGUGUGUACCUUUGAGAGUUUUGGAACAAUAUGCAGGUUCAAGUCACCAUCAUGUCAUCUUGCUGAUGAUCUCAUUGGACAAGACCAACACUGGGGUUGCUUGCUUCUGCCCUUGGUCUUCUGCCUGUCCUUCCCUCUGCGGCCAUUGAUCACACACGCAUGUGUUGUGAUCCAAAAGCUGUUUUGCUUUUCUUAUUUGUCUUGUGAGUGUUGUCCUUGGCUUCGUAUAUGUCACAGGGGAGAAGAGGCUGGACCUUCAGUCCUUGUCAUUCAAACCCGUUCCACCAGCAGGCAGAAAGGCCACACACUGAGAUGCAGACUCCGACAGUUCUGAUGACGUGCUGAUCCAUGUGCCAGAAGAUGAAAGCAGCGCAGAAGGGCUUAUCUCCAGACAAAACCCAAGUGUCUUGCUUCUUUUCCCAUAUCUGCUGUGAUGACCGGCAUUUGUAUUGACGCAUGCUUGUGUUCACCUUGAGAUCAGAGAGAAAUAGAAAUUAAUUGCCCACUAAUCACGAUUGCUGAUGCAAAAUUAGGAAAAUACCAACAAGCUUCAGUUUACUUUGUGUUUUAUUUGAGUGAACAAACCAGUGGUCUGGGUUGUCCUAAUACUCCCUUCCCUGCCCCCAGUUUUCCCCAAAAGCUCAUGAGUCCCUCCAACAGAAAUUCCUCUACAGCGAGGAUUUCAGGAACUCAACUCUCAUACCUAGGGAGGGGAGUUACUCUACUUGGUUGCACAAUCUGAUUUUGUACUCUCAAUCCUGAAAUUUAUUUUAAUUCUGUUUAAGCCUAACUUGCUCUUUCAGCAGAAAGAAUCCAGACCCUUGCCCUUUACCUGGUUUGGUAUCAGUGAACUUGCUUUGCAGCGGUUGUAUGAGGUAGCUAUGGGUCAGUCCCGAAGGGCAGUGCAAUGACAAUGGACUCCUGCAUUUACUCUGGCAUCUAAUCGAGGAGUAGAAGCUGCUAGAGUUCAUUUCCAUUGAUCUCUGUUCUCAUAUCUGGUCUUUCCAGGAAUCUGAACAUCUGAAUAUCCUCCGGGAAAGGGGUUCUGACUGAAACUUCUUCUUCCCUGAGGGUGGUGGAAAUCCAGUAAUUCCCCCCCACCCCCAGCCUGGAGGUCUGAAUGAUAGCCUAGCUAUACUUGAGUUUGAAGUGAGCAGAGGAAAGGGGAAAAAAAUACAAAAGUUAAAAGGGCUUGCUCGCAUAGUUACAGUUGAGAUGACAGAUAUUCCUCAAUAGGUUCAAAAGAGGCAGAUGAGACUUGAAAACUCGUUUUCAGGUGCUGUGGUUCUAGAGAACCCCACCCCCCACAGUGCCAGAGAAGCCUACAUGCCUGCUCUAAGCCAUAGCAGUUCUCAGCGCAUCCAGAUCAUGUUAGGGAGCUUUGAAAAAUACAGAGUUCUGGGACCUGCCCCUAGAUGUGCUGAAUCA